rnacentral:rRNA from 1 species
ACCCUGCUUCCAGGAAAAGCCACUAAGCUUCAGUCUAGAAUUGACCGUACCGCAAACCGACACAGGUGGGCAGGUAGAAGAUACUAAGGCGCUUGAGAGAACUCAGGAGAAGGAACUCGGCAAAUUGAUACCGUAACUUCGGGAGAAGGUAUGCCCUGGUAGCUUGUAGGAGAACAUCCGAAGGGCGACGGGGCCGCAGAGAAUCGGUGGCUGCGACUGUUUAUUAAAAACACAGCACUCUGCAAACACGAAAGUGGACGUAUAGGGUGUGACGCCUGCCCGGUGCCGGAAGGUUAAGUGAUGGGGUGCAAGCUCUUGAUCGAAGCCCCGGUAAACGGCGGCCGUAACAAUAACGGUCCUAAGGUAGCGAAAUUCCUUGUCGGGUAAGUUCCGACCUGCACGAAUGGCGUAACGAUGGCCACACUGUCUCCUCCUGAGACUCAGCGAAGUUGAAGUGUUUGUGAAGAUGCAAUCUCCCCGCGGCUAGACGGAAAGACCCCAUGAACCUUUACUGUAGCUUUGCAUUGGACUUUGACGGGACUUGUGUAGGAUAGGUGGGAGGCGCUGAGACCAGGACGCUAGUUCUGGUGGAGCCGUCCUUGAAAUACCACCCUGGUGUCGUUGAGGUUCUAACCUAGGUCCAUCAUCUGGAUCGGGGACCGUGCAUGGUAGGCAGUUUGACUGGGGCGGUCUCCUCCCAAAAGGUAACGGAGGAGUACGAAGGUCUUCUAGGUACGGUCGGACAUCGUACUGAUAGUGCAAUGGCAAAAGAAGGCUUGACUGCGAGACCGACAAGUCGAGCAGGUGCGAAAGCAGGUCAUAGUGAUCCGGUGGUUCUGUAUGGAAGGGCCAUCGCUCAACGGAUAAAAGGUACUCUGGGGAUAACAGGCUGAUUCCGCCCAAGAGUUCACAUCGACGGCGGAGUUUGGCGCCUCGAUGUCGGCUCAUCACAUCCUGGGGCUGUAGCCGGUCCCAAGGGUAUGGCUGUUCGCCAUUUAAAGUGGUACGUGAGCUGGGUUUAAAACGUCGUGAGACAGUUUGGUCCCUAUCUGCCGUGGGCGCUGGAUAUUUGAGGGGGCCUGCUCCUAGUACGAGAGGACCGGAGUGGACGGAUCUCUGGUGUACCGGUUGUGACGCCAGUCGCAUCGCCGGGUAGCUAAAUCCGGAAGAGAUAACCGCUGAAAGCAUCUAAGCGGGAAACUCGCCUCGAGAUGAGAUAUCCCUGGGAACUUGAUUCCCCUGAAGGGUCGUCGAAGACCACGACGUUGAUAGGUCGGGUGUGGAAGCG